UACGUAGAGUGCGAGCGUUAAUCGGAAUUACUGGGCGUAAAGCGUGCGCAGGCGGUUCGUUGUGUCGGCGGUGAAAGCCCCGGGCUUAACCUGGGAAUGGCCGUUGAAACUGGCGAACUGGAGUGUGGCAGAGGGGGGUGGAAUUCCGCGUGUAGCAGUGAAAUGCGUAGAGAUGCGGAGGAACACCGAUGGCGAAGGCAGCCCCCUGGGCUAACACUGACGCUCAGGCACGAAAGCGUGGGGAGCAAACAGG
rnacentral:rRNA from 1 species